rnacentral:pre_miRNA from 1 species
AAUUGGAUAGCUGGGUCAAAUGGUGGUUCCAUUCUGAGUUUUCUAAGGAGUCUCCAUACUGUUUUUCAUAGUGGUUGCACCAAUUUGCUUUCCCACCAGCAAU